rnacentral:rRNA from 1 species
AACGAACGCUGGCGGCAUGCCUAACACAUGCAAGUCGAACGAGACCUUCGGGUCUAGUGGCGCACGGGUGCGUAACGCGUGGGAACCUGCACUUAGGUUCGGAAUAACUCCCCGAAAGGGGUGCUAAUACCGGAUAAUGUCUUCGGACCAAGGAUUUAUCGCCUUUGGAUGGGCCCGCGUUGGAUUAGCUAGUUGGUAGGGUAAAAGCCUACCAAGGCGACGAUCCAUAGCUGGUCUGAGAGGAUGAUCAGCCACACUGGGACUGAGACACGGCCCAGACUCCUACGGGAAGCAGCAGUGGGGAAUAUUGGACAAUGGGCGAAAGCCUGAUCCAGCAAUGCCGCGUGAGUGAUGAAGGCCUUAGGGUUGUAAAGCUCUUUUACCCGGGAUGAUAAUGACAGUACCGGGAGAAUAAGCUCCGGCUAACUCCGUG